rnacentral:rRNA from 1 species
UACGGGAGGCAGCAGUGGGGAAUAUUGCACAAUGGGGGAAACCCUGAUGCAGCGACGCCGCGUGAGCGAAGAAGUAUUUCGGUAUGUAAAGCUCUAUCAGCAGGGAAGAAAAUGACGGUACCUGACUAAGAAGCNCCGGCUAAAUACGUGCCAGCAGCCGCGGUAAUACGUAUGGUGCAAGCGUUAUCCGGAUUUACUGGGUGUAAAGGGAGCGUAGACGGAUGGGCAAGUCUGAUGUGAAAACCCGGGGCUCAACCCCGGGACUGCAUUGGAAACUGUUCAUCUAGAGUGCUGGAGAGGUAAGUGGAAUUCCUAGUGUAGCGGUGAAAUGCGUAGAUAUUAGGAGGAACACCAGUGGCGAAGGCGGCUUACUGGACAGUAACUGACGUUGAGGCUCGAAAGCGUGGGGAGCAAACAGGAUUAGAUACCCUGGUAGUCCACGCCGUAAACGAUGACUACUAGGUGUCGGGUGGCAAAGCCAUUCGGUGCCGCAGCAAACGCAAUAAGUAUUCCACCUGGGGAGUACGUUCGCAAGAAUGAAACUCAAAGGAAAUUGACGG